rnacentral:rRNA from 1 species
CCGGGCCAGCCGCCGCGGUAAUACGGAGGAUCCAAGCGUUAUCCGGAAUCAUUGGGUUUAAAGGGUCCGUAGGCGGUUUGGUAAGUCAGUGGUGAAAGCCCAUCGCUCAACGGUGGAACGGCCAUUGAUACUGCCAGACUUGAAUUAUUAGGAAGUAACUAGAAUAUGUAGUGUAGCGGUGAAAUGCUUAGAGAUUACAUGGAAUACCAAUUGCGAAGGCAGGUUACUACUAAUGGAUUGACGCUGAUGGACGAAAGCGUGGGUAGCGAACAGGAUUAGAAACCCCUGUAGUCC